rnacentral:rRNA from 1 species
GAUCAUGGCUCAGGAUGAACGCUGGCGGCGUGCUUAACACAUGCAAGUCGAACGAAGCACUUUAUUUGAUUUCCUUCGGGACUGAUUAUUUUGUGACUGAGUGGCGGACGGGUGAGUAACGCGUGGGUAACCUGCCUCGUACAGGGGGAUAACAGUUGGAAACGGCUGCUAAUACCGCAUAAGCGCACAGCAUCGCAUGACGCAGUGUGAAAAACUCCGGUGGUAUAAGAUGGACCCGCG